GACGAACGCUGGCGGCGUGCUUAACACAUGCAAGUCGAACGGUGAAGGUGGGAGCUUGCCACUGCUGGAUCAGUGGCGAACGGGUGAGUAACACGUGAGUAACCUGCCCUUGACUCUGGGAUAAGCGUUGGAAACGACGUCUAAUACCGGAUACGAGCUUCAGUCGCAUGGCUAGGCGCUGGAAAGUUUUUUCGGUCAAGGAAGGACUUGCGGGCUAUCAGCUUGUUGGUGAGGUCAUGGCUCACCAAGGCGACGACGGGUAGCCGGCCUGGGAGGGUGACCGGCCCCACUGGGACUGAGACACGGCCCAGACUCCUACGGGAGGCAGCAGUGGGGAAUAUUGCACGAUGGGCGCAAGCCUGAUGCAGCAACGCCGCGUGGGGGACGACGGCCUUCGGGUUGUAAACCUCUUUUAGCAGGGAAGAAGCGCAAGUGACGGUACCUGCAGAAAAAGCACCGGCUAACUACGUGCCAGCCGCCGCCGUAACAC
rnacentral:rRNA from 1 species